UACGUAGGCAGCAAGCGUUGUUCGGAAUUACUGGGCGUAAAAGAGUGUGUAGGCGGUGCUCUAAGUUUGGUGUGAAAUCUCCCGGCUCAACUGGGAGGGUGCGCCGAAAACUGGAAUGCUUGAACGUGGGAGAGGAAAGCGGAAUUCCUGGUGUAGCGGUGAAAUGCGUAGAUAUCAGGAGGAACACCUGCGGUGUAGACGGCUUUCUGGACCAUUGUUGACGCUGAGACACGAACGAGCGUGGGUAGGCAAACAGG
rnacentral:rRNA from 1 species